rnacentral:rRNA from 1 species
AAGGUAGCGAAAUUCCUUGUCAGGUAAGUUCUGACCUGCACGAAUCGUGUAACGACUUCUGCGCUGUCUCAACCUCGGACUCAGCGAAAUUGUAGUGCCGGUGAAGAUGCCGGCUACCCGCAUCUGGACAGAAAGACCCUAUGAACCUUUACUGCAACUUGACGUUGGAACUUGGCUGUACUUGUGUAGGAUAGGUGGGAGACUUUGAAGCCGGGCCGCCAGGUCUGGCAGAGUCGUCGUUGAAAUACCACCCUGGUGCUGACGAGUUUCUAACCGUGACCGUAAGCCGGUCAUGAGACAGCGUCUGGUGGGCAGUUUGACUGGGGCGGUCGCCUCCUAAAAGGUAACGGAGGCAUUCAAAGGUCCCCUCAGCGUGGUCGGUAAUCACGCGCAGAGUGCAAACGCAUAAGGGGGCUUAACUGCGAGACCGACAGGUCGAGCAGGUACGAAAGUAGGAGUUAGUGAUCC